rnacentral:rRNA from 1 species
GAGUGCGGUAGGGGAGAAUGGAAUUCCUGGUGUAGCGGUGGAAUGCGCAGAUAUCAGGAGGAACACCGAUGGCGAAGGCAGUUCUCUGGGCCGUUACUGACGCUGAGGAGCGAAAGCGUGGGGAGCGAACAGGAUUAGAUACCCUGGUAGUCCACGCCGUAAACGUUGGGAACUAGAUGUGGGGACCUUUCCACGGUCUCCGUGUCGCAGCUAACGCAUUAAGUUCCCCGCCUGGGGAGUACGGCCGCAAGGCUAAAACUCAAAGGAAUUGACGGGGGCCCGCACAAGCGGCGGAGCAUGCGGAUUAAUUCGAUGCAACGCGAAGAACCUUACCAAGGCUUGACAUAUACCGGAAACUUCCAGAAAUGGUUGCCCCGCAAGGUCGGUAUACAGGUGGUGCAUGGUUGUCGUCAGCUCGUGUCGUGAGAUGUUGGGUUAAGUCCCGCAACGAGCGCAACCCUCGUUCUAUGUUGCCAGCACGUCAUGGUGGGAACUCAUAGGAGACUGCCGGGGUCAACUCGGAGGAAGGUGGGGAUGACGUCAAAUCAUCAUGCCCCUUAUGUCUUGGGCUUCACGCAUGCUACAAUGGCCGGUACAAAGGGCUGCGAUACCGUAAGGUGGAGCGAAUCCCAAAAAGCCGGUCUCAGUUCGGAUUGAGGUCUGCAACUCGACCUCAUGAAGUCGGAGUCGCUAGUAAUCGCAGAUCAGCAACGCUGCGGUGAAUACGUUCCCGGGCCUUGUACACACCGCCCGUCAAGUCAUGAAAGUCGGUAACACCCGAAGCCAGUGGCCUAACCGCAAGGAGGGAGCUGUCGAAGGUGGGAUCGGUGAUUAGGACUAAGUCGUAACAAGGUAGCCGUACCGGAAGGUGCGGCUGGAUCACCUCCUUUCUAAGGA